rnacentral:rRNA from 1 species
CAGCCGCCACGGUAAUACGAGGGGGCUAGCGUUGUUCGGAAUUACUGGGCGUAAAGCGCACGUAGGCGGCUUGGUAAGUUAGAGGUGAAAGCCUGGAGCUCAACUCCAGAAUUGCCUUUAAGACUGCCGAGCUAGCAGGUGAGAGAAGUAAGUGGAAUUCCGAGUGUAGAGGUGAAAUGCGUAGAGAUGUGGAGGAACACCAGUGGCGAAGGCGACUCUCUGGUCUGUAACUGACGCUGAGAGACGAAAGCUAGGGGAGCAAAUGGGAUUAGAUACCCGCGUAGUCCCUGUCUUUAUACAC